GCUUAACACAUGCAAGUCGAGCGGUAAGGCCCUUCGGGGUACACGAGCGGCGAACGGGUGAGUAACACGUGGGUGAUCUGCCUUGCACUUCGGGAUAAGCCUGGGAAACUGGGUCUAAUACCGGAUAUGACCUCGGGAUGCAUGUUCUGGGGUGGAAAGAUUUAUCGGUGCGAGAUGGGCCCGCGGCCUAUCAGCUUGUUGGUGAGGUAACGGCUCACCAAGGCGACGACGGGUAGCCGACCUGAGAGGGUGACCGGCCACACUGGGACUGAGACACGGCCCAGACUCCUACGGGAGGCAGCAGUGGGGAAUAUUGCACAAUGGGCGAAAGCCUGAUGCAGCGACGCCGCGUGCGGGAUGACGGCCUUCGGGUUGUAAACCGCUUUUGACAGGGACGAAGCGCAAGUGACUGUACCUGUAGAAUAAGGACCGGCCAACUACGUGCCAGCAGCCGCGGUAAUACGUAGGGUCCGAGCGUUGUCCGGAAUUACUGGGCGUAAAGAGCUUGUAGGCGGUUCGUCGCGUCGUUUGUGAAAACUUGGGGCUCAACCUUAAGCUUGCAGGCGAUACGGGCGGACUAGAGUACUUCAGGGGAGACUGGAAUUC
rnacentral:rRNA from 1 species